UCAUCCCAGAGUUUUCAGAUAAAUAUGGAGUCAAAUAAAAUGAGGAACUUCUGAGUUCAGAUUCAAACUGAGAAAGAGUAAAUCACAAGAUACAAAGAAAAUAAAGCUCUAGGACUAAAGCUUUUCAAAUCAAUGUGAUUUUACUGUUGUAUCAUAUCCCACGAGUUCUUCAGUCACAUGAGAACUUGAAGCAUGACUUCAGGAAGGUUUCAGCUGGAUGGAAUGCUUUGGAGAACCUUUACCUUGUGAAAUGCGGGACUUGUCCAGAAGCAGAAACAAUUCUGAAGAUGUAAGAUAGUAAGAAACAGUGCAGUUUUCAAAUUUCUAUUUGAGGAAUAUAUUUUUUAUAGUGUAUUGAACAUUGUAUUUCAGCAUAAAGUGAAUCUUAGAGGCCAAUUUCUCCUCUUUUGUGCUAUCAGGAGAUUGUCACUUGCAAGUUCAGUGACUAUGUCCAAGCAGAAUGAUUUUAAGAAAGUAGUUGUUUUUGUUUUUGUUUUUUUUAACCCAUUUAAGUCACAAGAAUCAUGGUAGAAUGCAAUGGUUGAUAGUUUGGGUUAACCUAGGAAAAGUGGUGUACAUGUGAUUGUCAUUGGAACUCCAAAAUGUGAUGUAUGGUUUCAAUUAGAAACUAACUUCAGGUAAGGAGCCCCAACUCCAGUAAGAUGUUUGCAUAAAACAGUUUAACAGUUUAAGCAUCAUCUUCAGUGUCUUGUGAGUCGCAGGGUGACCCAAAGCUGAAAAUAAUAAUCUUCCUAAGGAAUACAAUAAAAAUGACAGUUCAGCAGAUCGUCCAUAGCAGGGGAAGAAACUCAUCAUGGUGGGUGAAGCAGGACAAUGGUACGUGUCCUGCUUGGCGUGUUUGCAUUUGUAUUCCCAGAAACAAGGUGAGAAUGAAAGGACUUUCGACCAUUCCAUGGACCUAGCAGGAUCAGUUCUGACCUGAGCUGCAGUGUAUGAGGAUGCUGGGGAAAGCAGCUGCUAGCAGCCCACAGAGAUGCCUGCAGGACCCUCUUGGCUAGCCUGGAGGAGGCCUUUAUUAUUUUAAGGAAAUCCACAUCUGUCUUGCUGACAGUUCAUGCAGGGAAAGUUACUGCCCACUGUAGUGGCAUCAGAGGACACCUUCAGCAGGGACAGCAAUGACUUUUACCUUGAAACUCCUCUGAAAAUGCAACCGUUUAGCAUCAAUACCACUAUAUGAAAGAGUUUGAUAGGAGUCACCACGGUGAGGAAAGUAUAAUGGAAUUCCAGGUCAAUAUGAACAGCAUGUAAACUGUUUUCUGAACUGCCUCUCUCCUUGUGGACCCACCACCCAGCUUCCUGGAUUCACGCAGCUGCAGCUUUCAGGCAAUUCUCCUUUCUGGAAGGGUUACAGCAAUGAAAUCACUACCUGGACAGAUCUUUUCUAUGGAGUCUCAGAGAGGGGAAGGAGGGAAAG